rnacentral:lncRNA from 1 species
AGUAAAGAUGAUUUUUUAGAUAAUUUUGAUUUAACUUUUGAGUUUGUUCAGGAUGAUGAUGUUUCUUACAAACAGUCACCGAAAGAAAAUGGGAUGGGAAACCCAAAAUCUGUGGAAACAAAUUAACUAAAUGUUGAAAAUAUUGAAUCCACAACUGAACAACCUUUGGUAAUUCCAUCUCAAAAUCAAAAUACUGAAACAACUUAGAUGUGUACAAAACGGUUUAAAGGUCUUGUAUAUUCAAAGGAACAUCUAGCACAAAAAAGAGCCACUAUCCCACAGCACUAUCAAGAAUCUGACCAGAGGUUGGAUCAUGAAGUUUGUGAC